ACACCACAAAAUACGCGCUCAAAAUGAAGAAGAAACAAGAGGAAGAGUGAAGCACAGAUGAGACUUCGUGAGGGUGAACGGAGACGAACGUGGAGAGGAUCGAGACGAGACCUCCUCAUUCUGCUUAACAAUAAGAUCUCAAUCUCGAUUUCUGGAUUUGAUUGAAGAUGACAAUCGAAGGUCAAUGCACUUUCUUUCUAAAUUCUCGGAGAUUUUUCAAAUGGAA
rnacentral:misc_RNA from 1 species